rnacentral:sRNA from 1 species
AUGGCUGUCGUCAGCUCGUGUCGUGAGAUGUUGGGUUAAGUCCCGCAACGAGCGCAACCCCCGUUCCAUGUUGCCAGCAUUCAGUUGGGGACUCAUGGGAGACUGCCGGUGACAAACCGGAGGAAGGUGGGGAUGACGUCAAGUCAUCAUGCCCCUUAUGUCCAGGGCUACACACGUGCUACAUUGGCGCAUACAAAGGGUUGCAAUACCGUGAGGUGGAGCGAAUCCCAUAAAGUGCGUCUCGGUUCGGAUUGGAGGCUGAAACUCGCCUCCAUGAAGGUGGAGUUGCUAGUAAUCGCGGAUCAGCAAUGCCGCGGUGAAUACGUUCCCGGGCCUUGUACACACCGCCCGUCACACCACGGGAGUGAGCAACACCCGAAGCCGGUGGCCUAACCCGCAAGGGAGGGAGCCGUCGAAGGUGGGGCUCGUGACUGGGGUGAAGUCGUAAGCAAGUUGCGACCCGCGUCGGUAACGACGCGUGAAAAACUCGGCUGUAUGCUGGAAACUCCGAGUAUCCUCGACUACUCGCCGUGCGCGACGGAUUGUUCCGUCGCACGGGGCAGUGAAAAUGUUGGGGUGCGGACAAUCAGCAGGGAAGUCGCGUCGCCGCCCAACCUGGCGGAGGCGUUGACCCCUCAGAGACUACACGCCGAGCUCCUGGCGACAAGCGCCUCAGGUGCUUGGAGCCGCGGCCUCGCAGCGAGAUUUCGUUUCUCGCGUGGGGUCUUGGCAUCCAAGGAAGCGCAGUCUGCUGGAGGCCCGUUCUGCGGGCUUCAGGCAACCAGGAUGAAGAUAUAGUCCACGCCUCAUGGCGACAUGGGGAACCACGUGAACAAGGUAGCCGUAGCGGAAGCUGCGGCUGGAUCACCUCCUUUCUAGGGAGCACCUAGCGGUGCCCCGGUCGAGGGCCAAUCGCAAGAUCGGCCCGUGCGGUCGCCGAGCCCGCCUGUGCCCAGUAUGGGUACGAGGCACGGCGAUGACAAGCAGAUCGGGCCUAGCAUGUCGACCGAACCUGGCUGGAUGGCCGUACGCCGCGCGUUCCCCUUACUACUUGGGGCGAGCAACCGGCCUCGACCGCAGCGACGCCAGCAUGCUGUUGAGUUUUGAGAGACCGGCGUCCGCCGGUGCUCGCGGGACACGUCGAACGAUCACGUGGCCGAAAUACGCGAGGAUCGGUUGGCGUAGUCGCCUCUCCACGGUCCUUGAAAACUGCACAGAAGCCACAUCAGCCGCCAUCGAUAAGCGGCGGCUGAAAAACGGGUAUCACCGGGCCCUGCAGGACCUCGCGUGCCCAGAAAUGGGUAUCGGGUCAUGCUGGGCCAGAUCACCGUCAAGAUAGUAAGGGCACACGGUGGAUGCCUUGGCACCAAGAGUCGAAGAAGGGCGUGAACGGCUGCGAUAAGCCACGGUUAGGCGCUUAAUAGCCUUUUGACCCGUGGAUUCCCGAAUGGGGAAACCCGG